ACUCAAGAUGGCGAAACCUCGGCCGCCGCGGCUAUAUUCGCCGCGGCGUCACUGCCUUCCUGGCCUGGUGGUGAGAGGAAGUCGGGCCGCGAAAGCUUCCUGAGGAGAAAAUGGAGGGCCCUUCUCUCACACCGACGAGAAAAGUUCGAGGGGGAAAUACGAGUUCCUUUCUGAAGGGACAGGACGGCUGCUUUUCCACAGCCGCGACGUGAUUGAGAAAUGGUGGCUGGCAAGGGUAGGCCUGCCUUCGCCCCUCCAAAGUAAAAAUCGGGAGUUGAGACCAGAGGAACAUCUCUUUAUUACAUGACUAAGGAUAUGUUUUGAAAACUGGCCCCCGGGCAGCUGCUCGGGGACAGGAAGCUGACCUGACUUCUCCAGCUGGCCGGGGAGGCUGAUGCCGGGCCUAAGGGGCCGCGUCCGAGCCUCUCGGGGCGCGCCUCCAUGCAGGAAGGCGCGGAACUAGCGACCCGGAGACGCCGGGCGCGCGUCUGAGUGUGGGGGCAGGAAGGGGGGCCGACCGGGCCCGGAGGCCGCACCAGGCAGGAGGGAGGACUCCAGAGAGUGCGCGGGGGGCGCUGCGCGGUGGGACGGGGCGAGCCUGUAGGGCGCGCCUGGCGGCGGGUAGGCUCCGGGCUUGAGGGUGCGCCUGGGGGCGCUGGUUGUGGGGGAAGGCACCGGGCUUGAGGGUGCACCUGGGCGGGGGAAGUCUUCGGGCAUGAGGGCGCGCCUGCGGGUGGUAUGGGGGGGUACACCGAGCUUGAGGGUGCGCCCGGGGGGCUCUCAUGUGAAGGGUACCAGGCUUGAGGGCGCCCCUGCGGGGGGCGCAGAGGCACCGAGCUUGAGGGUGCGCCUCGGGGGUCUGCGGGGGGAAGGCACCGGACUUGAGCGUGCGCCGGGAGAGGACGGCGGGGGACCGGACUGUGAGGGCGUAUCUUGGGGGACCUGUCUAGGAGGAACCGGGAGGUGAAGGCACAACUGGGGGUGAGGCGGGGGCAGGGGCCGGGCUGUGAGAGUGCGACUGAGGGGGGAUUACUCCGGAGAGCACGGAGCUGGGGGCGUUGCGCAGGUGGAGUGGGGAGGCCUGGUGGAGAGGGUAGCAAACCGAGAGAGCGCACCGGGGUGGUGGGGGGAGAAGCUGGACUGUAAGGUGAAGAGUUAGUAGGGCGCAACCGUCUUCUCCUGCCCUCGAAGGGCAAGACUGAAGAAAGUAGGGGCGGAGGAGGCCGGGCCCUCCACUAAAGGGAGGGAAGCUAGUGAAGCGUCAGUUAUAAUAGAAAUAGGAAUUCAGUAAGGAAAUGGAGAAGCUUAAGGCAAAGGGUGACUCUCCGGCCUGACCCUCACUAUGAAGAUAUUUAUGUAUGUUCCCAUAAUACUUUUCAGAUCCCAAUGUCUGUGUUUAUCCUUGACAGAAAUAAUAGAACUGCUGUCUUCUUCCAAGUUAAACAAAACUUUGGAGCUAAAAGCUAGCUAGGUCAAGAGAAACAAAAUCUAAUCCUCACCCAAUUGAGAGACUGAAUAUACAAAGAAUGGCCAAACCUAACCAUGACCUCCUACCCAUAACCUCUUCAGUAAUCGGCCAGAAGGGUCAGGACUUAAUCUUUAACCGGCAGCUUCCCUAUUUCUUGCCCCUGCUUCCAGCUCUGGGCCAAUCAGAGAAAGCCAAAUGUGCUCCUCACACCAAUCGCGUAAGAAGCCCUGCUUCUAGUAUAGCCCUCCUCCAACUUCCCGAUGCCAACAUCCUCCAAUCAGAGCCAACCUGAAGUUUCUCCCUUUUUUCAGUAUAUGUAAAGCUUUUCCACUCCCCUGCCUGCCUAUGAGUCUGUUAAAUCAAGUGAUGGGUCGCGGCUGACUCUUGCCAGCUCUGAGUAAAUAGCCUAUUCUCAUUUGGUGGUCGUUAUUUCUACACAGCCGGUGGGAAGGUGGUGGAGAAUAGUGAAGACUAUUCUUAAGGUUAAAAAGAAGGUUCGGCUUACAUUUUUUUUUUAUUUUAAAUUUACAGCAUGGCGUCUCCAGCCCAGGUUUUAAAAUACCUUCUAAUGUAAGGAAAUAGCCCUGCACCUUGUGCCCAUCCUAGAGAGAAAAUGGUUUCUUAAUAAAAAAUGUAUGAGGCCUUUUUUGCCCCAAUAUCUUCCCAAGCAGAGGAAUGUGAAGGGGGGUUGGGCCAAGAAGUGAGUGGUAGGAAGAGAGGCCUACGGAUUUAAAACAGGCCACUGCUUGGAGGGGUGUCUUUCCUAAACCACUGAAGAAAUUGAACCAGGCAAAGGAAGGGGGUUCACACCCACAAAUAAACUAUAACCUACAAAAGGAGCCCGGGUUCACAUCCACAAAUAAAUUGUAACCUACACAAGGAGUCUGGUUGAGGUCACAAAACAAAAGCCAGGAGGCAACCAAAAGUAGAAUAUGAAAUAGGUGCUGCCUUCUCACCUAGGAAUCCUUCCAGGGCUAAAACCUUCAAAUAUUCUGCUUUUAAGGUAGUCAGAUACCCUCACAACUCAUUUACAUCAGCCCUUCUCUGUUUUCAAGUGAGAAGCAUAGAUGGUUUAGAAUUAAGCUAUGAACUCUUGGAUCUUUUCUUCCAAGUUUAGUGUUAGUGGUAGAUAGGUCUAGUCCAACUAUCUCAAUACAUUGUUUUCUCCCUAGUUAAAACAGAUUUGCAAGAAUCAUUUGUAUGACACUUUAGGAAUACAGAUAAAUUGCUAGUGCAAAUAAUAUCCUUAUAUUUAUAAAAUAUAUGUGUACUUUUAAAAAAGUUAUAUGAAUCCAAUCCUCUGGCCUUUUAGUUAGUAUUGAGUGUGAUAGUUGUGGGAGAUCUGUAGUAAAUACGGUUUCUGAAGGGUGUGCUAUCAUCCCUAAUGAACUCACCUAUUAAUUGUGGUAAAGAGUUUUUCACUUGGGCUGGGCACGGUGGCUCACGCCUGUAAUCCCAGCACUUUGGGAGGCCGAGGCAGGUGGGUCGACUGAGGUCAGGAGUUCCAGACCAGCCUAGCCAACAUGGUGAAACCCCGUCUGUACUAAAAAAAAAAAAAAGA
rnacentral:lncRNA from 1 species